GGGUGAGGCCCGAAGUAGGGCCUAAGGCGCAUGCUCACUAUCUGGCUGGAGCGAGCCUAGCUCAUUGCGCCUGCGUCCUGGCGUCUUCCUAAGCAAAGGCAGGUGAAUUAGCUUGUUGGCGUCCUUCCGCCGCCGUUGAGAAAGUUAAGGGCUUCGAAUUAAACUAGCAACCGCUCACCUAGUCCUUCCACAUUAUUAAUGGACAUGCCGGUGCUAGGUAAGCAGAUCUGGUAAGCAGGCCCACCUCCAUGGAAUUCCAAGUGGUGUAUUGCUAGCCACAUCCCUGAUUCUAGUCUGUCUGCUCCCGGAGACCCGCUUUCCUAGAUCCAGAAAAAUCAGGGAUCGAUGGCGAGCCAAAGACACCCCCUGCCUCAAAGACCCAGCAUUACGCAGGCUUGCACUGCAAGGGAAAAGUACGAGAAGCUGGAGGGGACAGCAUUACUGUGGUUACAAAGUGGGCGAGUGUCACUCACUCUGUCUGGGUCAGAGUACAGUUGGGGCGGGAAGGACGGUCAGUCAUCAGAAAGUCAACCUGUGACUUCAGAAGACCACAGGCUAAAGGGAAGGCUGGCGGAGAGCCGAGGGACGCCACCAGGGACAGCCUGGAUGCAGAAGUAAGAAACAACACGCAAAGACCACCGUAUUUUCCUCCAACCUCACACUUCGCAGUUCGCUUCGUUAAACUUCAGCAUACGCAACCACCUGUUUUCGUAUCUCAGGCCCCUAGUAAAAAGUUUCGAAUCCUAAACCUUCGAGUUGACUGACCAAGGUGGUAAAGGGCCGGAAACUGGAAAGGCGACUUUGCCUUCUCUAAGUGUGAUUUUUAACUUUUUGUUUCUUUUGAUUCAUUUUUGUCCAAGCUGUCCACCCACGGCGAUCCUCCUGCAUCAGCCUCCCACGUGCUAGGAUUACAAGCCAGCCUUGAGUCUUGAUUCUUCACAGGAUUAAAUGAUGAAGGGAUGAAACGAGAGCCAUACCCAAGCUCUACAAAUAUGUGGUGGCUUGCCCUGAGCCCAGGGCAUUUCUAUCUAACUCUCCCUAAGCCUACACCUGGAAGCUUCUUGCCUCCAUGCAGUCUAAUCUUCUGCGAGCCUGGACCUUGAAGGCUUCAGCUUCCAGCCUUCAUCUGUUGACCCAGGUCUAGGAUGUUGCAGCCUCCAAGACUUACUGCCAAAUAUCUCACUCUAGUUCCUUCCGAGCACUGGCUGGCAGGUUCAGUUGAGCUGUUCUGACCCAGCUAGUCAGCUGUCUUCUCUCAGCUCCUGACUGAAUUGCUCUGCUUGGAAAACCUGCCUCUGAACUCCACAAAACCGACCUGCUUUGAACACAACUUCUCUGUUCUGAGUUGAACUGAUCU
ensembl:lncRNA